rnacentral:misc_RNA from 1 species
GUGAAAUCUCGACGGCUGUGCGCCUUCGGGCCGCACGUCGUCGCUCCACACAUUUGUGCACCUUCGACGGGAGGGGGAGACCUUUCCUGUCGCUUCAUUAACAAAAGUUAGUCCUGAAUGUAAUCAUAUCAUAAAAAUA